GUGGCUAGCUGCAACAUUUCCCUCUUUCCUGUAUCUUGUUUUUAAUUAAUAGGUUAUUUUUCCUAACAGUAAAUGUAUUAUGUUGUUGAAAUUUUGGAUACGACACAGAAAAGUGCAAAGGAGAAAAUAUAAAACCACACAUACCCUAAGGCCCAGAAGCAACCUCUGGCGUGUCCUUCAGGAGGUAUUCCAGAAGGUGUUGUUGUCAUAGGAGGUGACAGCUCCAUGCACGUUACUGCCCGCCUCUCCCUGCGAGGUAAGACAUAGAGAUGGAAGACAGUGAUACUGGUGAUCAUGCAUGUUACUGCCCCCGUCUCCCUGCGAGGUAAGACAUAGAGAUGGAAGACAGUGAUAUUGAUGAUCCUGACCCUGUGUAGACCUGGGCUAGUAUGUGUGUUUGUGUCUUUGUUUUUAAUGAAAAGUUUAAAAACUAAAAAUAAAAAUUGUUAAAAAUAGAGAAAAACGUAUAGACUAAGAAUAUAAAGAAAGAAAAUAUGUUUGUACAGUUAGACAAUGUGUUUUAGACUAAGUGUUAUUACAAAGGAAUCACAAAGUUUAAAAAAAAUUAAAAUAUUUUUAAACUAAAAAUGUUACAGGAAGC
rnacentral:lncRNA from 10 species